rnacentral:pre_miRNA from 1 species
UACGUACUCCCUCCGUCCGGAAAUGCUUGUCGGAGAAAUGCAUAGAAAUGGAUGUAUUUACAACUAAAAUACGUCUAGAUACAUCUAUUCCUCCGACAAGUAUUUCCAGACGGAGGGAGUACACC